AGUGCACCGACGGCAGACGGAACAAGAGGCGGAUACAUGCAUAUGGCCGACGUUGAGAACCCUAACCCCGGAGGCGGCGGCACCGACCUAGCCGUGGCGGCGGAGCCUGAUAACAUAAGCAAGAUCUGGCAACCAUGUGAAGCCCUGUUUAACUGCCUUAUCAUCGUCGUCUCGGUCACCCUCCUGGUGCUCCUCUUCUCUUCCGGCUCUCCUGAUAUCUUCUGGCUCGUCGUGGGGGUACUGGGCCUCGUCUACGGAGCCUGCAGCUGCGCCUUCAGCAUCGACAACACGUGCAUUCGUGGGAACACGCAGGGGAUCGAUCAAUCCCAGAUAUGGCGUUAUGUGUGCACGUAGAGCUGUUGUAAGUUAUUAAGUCUUUUUUUUAGCUCUGGACUAUACUAGUUAGUAGGUUUAAUUCUUGCACUUGAUUGACAAAUUUUGCCUAAUUAAGAAGAUACAGAAGGGAAUUCAUACUAGUAAUAUAUUGUCUCUUUGUUAUUCAUUUGUCUUUACAGCUCAUAAUUAUAAUCUGGUUUUCAUACAACUCAUACAUCGUUUCGUAGCAUGAUGGCUGGUGAUGCCUAUGUUUGGGAAACCAAAAUGUAAAGAAAAGUUGCCAAAACAUGCAAAAGUAAUUGGAAAAAGCUAUCCUUCAACCGGCUGAUGCACGCACAGUGUCCGUCAUCUGUGUAUCCAUCAGAUUGAUCUUGAUCAAGCGCUCGCGCUAGCCACAUGUUUCACGCAGUCGUUUUCCUUUUUGCAACAAGUGUAUUGUUUCAAUAGGUUUCUUCAACAAAGGUUGUGUUUCAGAAGAAAAAAAAAGGAUUCAAUGGUGUUUCUUUUCUCCAGCAAGAAGAUCUAAUUUCAGGUUUCUACAACAGAGGUCCUGUUUUAGAAAGAAGAAGAAAAUGGUUCGACGAUGGAUAUUUUUUCUUCUGCAGCAGGGGUCUUGCUUCAGAAACAUAGCCCCGAGGAGCGCUCAGUGCUAGAGCAUACGAGGACAAGCAUUUGCAACACAACACAUGUUUCAGAAACAUAGGUUCGGUUGCAGAAAUCACCAGAAGAGUGCCCUACGUGAGAGCGCCUCGUCGUUAUGCUGGCAACUACUCGAGUGUCGGGUUAGAGGAAGUGCAGCAACUCUGGAGGCCGACGGUCCUCCAUGGCCGAGGCGCUCAGGCCAUGGCGGGGCAGCGGCGCUGUCUCGAUGGACCUUUGCAAGAAGAUCCUUGUUGCAAAGCCCCUGAGCGCAACAAGCUAGCUGUUGCAAACGUCCUCGGUUGCCUGGAGCGGUAGAUCGGAUGACUGUUUUGGGUGGCAUCCGACGAUUGCUGAGGCGGCCGAUCUAAUCGGUUUAUCAUCCGACGGAUGCGUAGCAUUGUCCAAAGUAAAUUCACAGUAAUCUAUUGUCUCUUAUUCAUUUGUCUUUCUUUCCAACCGAUAAUAAUAAGCAGGUUUCAUGGAAGCACGGAAGAGGAGGAGGAUGGGAAGACGGUCGCAGAUGAAAGUGAAAUUGAGCAGUUGGCUGUGCACAGAUCUAAGGUGUCGUAGCAAGCCAAAUUGAGUGAACAACAGUAGUCAUUAUGUUUAUCUAGGCAGCAUCUUGGGAUGGGUUGACUCUUGAUAUACGCAAGUUGAACCUCCUUGUCCGCCUCUAUGCAUCUGCCUAUAGAAUUUUUGACACAUGUAGACGAUUUACAUUCAUGAUUAAUCAAUGAAUGAUGUAAAAAAGACAUGGAAAUAUUUAAGAACGGAUAUUGAAGAAUAUACGAGAAUAAAAUAUGAUGUGUCUAGUCAUCCAUUGUCACUUACAUUGCGCAUGAAUAGUGAAGCAUACGAGAAGGAGAAGCACUAGUACGUCUAUGCGCUUGGUGCACUCCCCGGCCAUAUCUUUGUACCUAGGCGAGGUAUCACCCUCUAUUGCAAAUGCUCUUUGAUUAAAGUAUAUAAUUGUUUGUGUUUUGACUUUUGAAUGUUUUGCGGUCUGAUAUACGUACUGUAUUGUAUGGACCAUAUAUAUAGAAAGAGAAAAGAUAGAGAUGUCGGGAUUUGAUUGAUGAAAUAUGAAUGUUACUGAUAUGGUGGUCUAUAUUUCCUUCUGUGGCGAUAUGGUAGUUAAGCCAAAUAUUUGAAGUGAUUAGAUCGUGAUGGCGUUGUGAUCACGCUUGACAAUGAAACGGUGGUAUUUCUUUCCAUGUAUGGAGAUACCGUUGUUUUAUAAAGAUCUGUUAUGAUUUGAUGAAAGGAUUGAUGAAAUAUGAUAGUGUCUUUUUUU
rnacentral:lncRNA from 1 species